GACUACAGGGGUAUCUAAUCCUGUUUGCUCCCCACGCUUUCGUGCCUCAGCGUCAAUCAAGGUCCAGUUGGCUGCCUUCGCAAUCGGUGUUCUAUGACAUAUCUAUGCAUUUCACCGCUACAUGUCACAUUCCGCCAACCUCAACCCAAUCCUAGCACUGCAGUAUCAAAGGCAAUUCUCCGGUUGAGCCGGAACCUUUCACCCCUGACUUACAGCGCCGCCUACGCACCCUUUAAACCCAGUAAUUCCGGAUAACGCUUGCACCCUCCGUAUUACCGCGGCUGCUGGCACGGAGUUAGCCGGUGCUUAUUCCUCUGGUACCGUCAGACCCGCAUAAAUACAGGCUUUUCUUCCCAGAUAAAAGUAGUUUACAACCCAGAGGGCCUUCUUCCUACACGCGGGAUGGCUGGUUCAGAGUUUCCUCCAUUGACCAAUAUUCCUUACUGCAGCCCCCCGUAGG
rnacentral:rRNA from 1 species